AGUGAACGCUGGCGGCAUGCCUAACACAUGCAAGUCGAACGAGAGCACCGGGUCUUGUGGCUCAUGGGUGCGUACCGCGUGGGAAGUUGUCCUUAGGUUCGUAAUAUCUCCUCGAAAGUGGUGCUAAUACAGGCGAAUUUCUUCGGCCCACAGAUUUCUCGUCUUUGGAUGGGCCCGGGCUGGCUGAGCUAGUUGGGGGGGGAAAAGCCUACCAAGGCGGCGAUCGGUAGCUGGUCUGAGAGGGUCAACAGCCACACUGUGAGUGAGAAACGGCCCAGACUCCGAGGGUGGGAAGCAGUGGGGAAUUCUGGAGAAGGGGGGAAAGGCUGAUACAGCAAUACCGGGUGAGUGAAGAAGGCCUUCGGGUUGGAAAGCGCUUAUGGCCGGAAAGAAAUACAGCGCUUUAACACGGGCUGAUGAUGACGGUACCGGAAGAAUAAGCACCGGCUAACUACGUG
rnacentral:rRNA from 1 species